rnacentral:rRNA from 1 species
UACGGGGGGGGCAAGCGUUGUUCGGAAUUACUGGGCGUAAAGGGCUCGUAGGCGGCCAACUAAGUCGAACGUGAAAAUCCCCGGGCUCAACCCGGGAACUGCGUCCGAUACUGGAAGGCUUGAAUCCGGGAGAGGGAUGUGGAAUUCCUAGUGUAGAGGUGAAAUUCGUAGAUAUUAGGAAGAACACCGGUGGCGAAGGCGGCCCACUGGCUCGACACUGACGCUGAGGUGCGAAAGCGUGGGGAGCAAACAGG